rnacentral:rRNA from 1 species
AUGACAUAUUGUCUUGAACAUCCUACAAGGACGUUGCUCCUGAUGCAUGUAGAACCUUUUGAACCUAAUAAAUCAUGCUAUGUCUGCUCUGAGACCCCUCUUCUGCUGGAUGUCAACACUAAGGCCAUGAAGCUUAGGGAGGUUAUCGACAAGAUUAUAAAAAGCAAACUUGGAAUGAUCCUCCCAUUGGUAAUGAUUGGAUCUACACUUGUUUUUGAGGAUGGUGAUGGCUUAGAGGAAGAUGAGGCUGCAAACUAUGCUUCAAACCUUGAGAAUGUCUUGACUAAACUGCCAGCUCCAGUAAAUGGCACAAAGCUUGCUGUUGAGGAUUUCCGGCAGGAGUUGUCAUGCAGCAUUAACAUCAAGCACAGGGAGGAGUUUGAUGAGGAGAAAGAGCCUGAUAAAAUGGUUUCAUCUGGAUGGUCUGCUCUGGUGGAGGAAUAGAUUAACAGUAAUGGGGAGAACAAAUCGACAGCUUCUUCAUCCUGUGCGCAUUCGACUGAUGACACUACUGAGGAUCCAUCGACUAAACCUGGGAUGAAGCGCAAGGUGGGUGAAAUGUUGGAAAUAAAGGAAAACUAUCAUGCAUCCAGCAAUGCUUAG